AGCAGCCGCGGUAAUUCCAGCUCCAAUAGCGUAUAUUAAAGUUGUUGCAGUUAAAAAGCUCGUAGUUGAAUUUCGGGGUCAGUAGGCUGGUCGUGCCACAGGUACGUACUGGUCUCACUGAUUCCUCCUUCCUGAUGAACCGUAAUGCCAUUAAUUUGGUGUUGCGGGGAAACUGGACUGUUACUUUGAAAAAAUUAGAGUGUUUAAAGCAGGCUAACGCUUGAAUACAUUAGCAUGGAAUAAUGAAAUAGGACGUUCGAUCUUAUUUUGUUGGUUUCUAAGAUUGACGUAAUGAUUAAUAGGGAUAGUUGGGGGCAUUAGUAUUCAAUUGUCAGAGGUGAAAUUCUUGGAUUUAUUGAAGACUAACUACUGCGAAAGCAUUUGCCAGGGAUGUUUUCAUUAAUCAAGAACGAAAGUUAGGGGAUCGAAGACGAUCAGAUACCGUCGUAGUCUUAACCAUAAACUAUGCCGGCUAGGGAUCGGAUGAUGUUAAUUUUUAAUGACUCAUUCGGCGCCUUAC
rnacentral:rRNA from 1 species